GACGAACGCUGGCGGCGUGCUUAACACAUGCAAGUCGAACGGAAAGGCCCCUUUGGGGGUACUCGAGUGGCGAACGGGUGAGUAACACGUGAGUAACCUGCCCUUGACCUCGGGAUAACUUCAGGAAACUGGGGCUAAUACCGGAUAGGCAUCCUUGCUGCAUGGUGGGGGUUGGAAAGCUUCGGCGGUUUUGGAUGGACUCGCGGCUUAUCAGCUUGUUGGUGGGGUAGUGGCUUACCAAGGCUUUGACGGGUAGCCGGCCUGAGAGGGCGACCGGCGACAUUGGGACUGAGAUACGGCACAGACUCCUACGGGAGGCAGCAGGGGGGAAUAGUGAACAAUGGGCGGAAGCCGGAUGCAGCAAGGCCGCGUGCGGGAUGACGGCCUUCGGGUUGUAAACCGCUUUCAGCAGGGGCGGAGCGUGUGGUGACGGUACCUGCAGAAGAAGCACCGGCUAACUACGUG
rnacentral:rRNA from 1 species